CAGAAAAUAGUUUAAUUAAAAUUUUAAUUUUGGAGAUUAAUGAUAAGAAAGUUUCUUUUUUCUGA
rnacentral:tRNA from 1 species